rnacentral:lncRNA from 1 species
UAGUGAUUUUACAUUGUAAAAACCUUACAUGUUUUCCAAACAACAUAGGUUCUCUUAAAUCCCUUACACAUUUAGAUAUUUCAUGUUGUGAAAACCUUACAUGUCUUCCAAACAACAUGGGUUCUCUUAAAUCCCUUACACAUUUAGAGAUUUCAGGUUGUAAAAACCUUACAUGUCUUCCAGACAACAUGGGUUCUCUUAAAUCCCUUACAUAUUUAAAGAUUUUAAGAUGUAAAAACCUUACAUGUCUUCCAAACAGCAUGGGUUCUCUUAAAUCCCUUACAUAUUUAAAGAUUUUAAGAUGUAAAAACCUUACAUGUCUUCCAAACAGCAUGUGUUCUCUUAAAUCCCUUACAUAUUUAGAGAUUAAAUUUUGUAAAAACCUUACAUGUCUUCCAAACAACAUGGGUUCUUUUAAAUCCCUUACACAUUUAGUGAUUUAUUAUUGUCCAAAUCUCAC